rnacentral:ncRNA from 1 species
AAUCGGCGUACAACGAUGGGGACGUGUCCCCGAUGUGGUGCCGAGGGUGGCAAGCCACAGCAAAAGCAAUUCUUUCCAAUGUUUCAAAUAUUGGAAUGUUUUGGAAAGCUGAAAAAUCACGUGUCGGGCAAUAGGGUUUGGUAGGCUGGCAACAGUUCGAAGAAGUCUGGCCCG